AGUGAACGCUGGCGGUAGGCCUAACACAUGCAAGUCGAACGGCAGCACAGUAAGAGCUUGCUCUUACGGGUGGCGAGUGGCGGACGGGUGAGGAAUACAUCGGAAUCUACUUUUUCGUGGGGGAUAACGUAGGGAAACUUACGCUACUACCGCAUACGACCUACGGGUGAAAGCAGGGGAUCUUCGGACCUUGCGCGAUUGAAUGAGCCGAUGUCGGAUUAGCUAGUUGGCGGGGUAAAGGCCCACCAAGGCGACGAUCCGUAGCUGGUCUGAGAGGAUGAUCAGCCACACUGGAACUGAGACACGGUCCAGACUCCUACGGGAGGCAGCAGUGGGGAAUAUUGGACAAUGGGCGCAAGCCUGAUCCAGCCAUACCGCGUGGGUGAAGAAGGCCUUCGGGUUGUAAAGUCCUUUUGUUGGGAAAGAAAAGCAGCAGGUUAAUACCCCGCUGUUCUGACGGUACCCAAAGAAUAAGCACCGGCUAACUUCGUG
rnacentral:rRNA from 1 species